CCUGGUGGUUCAGUGGUAAAGAAUCUGCCUGCAAUGCAGGAGACCCAGGUUCAAUCCCUGGGUCAGGA
rnacentral:tRNA from 1 species